UACGAAGGGGGCUAGCGUUGCUCGGAAUCACUGGGCGUAAAGCGCACGUAGGCGGCUUUCUAAGUCAGGGGUGAAAUCCUGGAGCUCAACCCCAGAACUGCCUUUGAUACUGGAGAGCUUGAGUCCGGGAGAGGUGAGUGGAACUCCGAGUGUAGAGGUGAAAUUCGUAGAUAUUCGGAAGAACACCAGUGGCGAAGGCGGCUCACUGGCCCGGUACUGACGCUGAUGUGCGAAAGCGUGGGGAGCAAACAGG
rnacentral:rRNA from 1 species